AAAAAAAAAAAAACUCACCCUGAACGCACCCGAUUUCGUCUGAUCUUAGAAGCUAAGCAGGGUCAGGCCUGGCUAGUACUUGCAAGGGGUCUACUGCCAUAACACCCUAAAAAAAAAGUCUAGUGACCUCUUUUC
rnacentral:rRNA from 1 species